GUGGGAGGAGCUGUCUUCUGGGCACAUAUAGAACUUAUCUUGGAGGUGAACAGACCUUUUUUUGGCUUCGGGACGGGUAGACCCCGAUGAGCUUGAUAGCGGUGUGUAGUUUUGCGUCAAGGACAAUUAACUUGGCGCUUUAUUGCGCCUUCUUCGGUUGGGAAAACCGUUGGGAUGAGUGAAAUCCUGUUUUUGUUGGUUUAGAUAUAUUUGUAAAGACCUCUGUAGAGGGAAAUUUGAAAGAGAAAAGUUACCGCGGGGAUAACAGCAUUGUCUCCUCAGAGAGAAUACAUUGAAGAGGGGGUUUAUGACCUCGAUUUUGGAUCAUUUGAUUCUGGGUGAUAUAAGGGGUCACUUUGUGAGGGACUGUUCG
rnacentral:rRNA from 1 species